ACAUCCAGUAGAAUUUAGCAGAGAUGCUUUAGUGCCUUCGGGAACUCUGAGACAGGUGCUGCAUGGCUGUCGUCAGCUCGUGUUGUGAAAUGUUGGGUUAAGUCCCGCAACGAGCGCAACCCUUAUCCUUUGUUGCCAGCACGUAAUGGUGGGAACUCAAAGGAGACUGCCGGUGAUAAACCGGAGGAAGGUGGGGAUGACGUCAAGUCAUCAUGGCCCUUACGAGUAGGGCUACACACGUGCUACAAUGGCGCAUACAAAGAGAAGCGACCUCGCGAGAGCAAGCGGACCUCAUAAAGUGCGUCGUAGUCCGGAUUGGAGUCUGCAACUCGACUCCAUGAAGUCGGAAUCGCUAGUAAUCGUAAAUCAGAAUGUUACGGUGAAUACGUUCCCGGGCCUUGUACACACCGCCCGUCACACCAUGGGAGUGGGUUGCAAAAGAAGUAGAUAGCUUAACCUUCGGGAGGGCGUUUACCACUUUGUGAUUCAUGACUGGGGUGAAGUCGUAACAAGGUAAGCGUAGUGCU
rnacentral:rRNA from 1 species